rnacentral:rRNA from 1 species
CAGUCGCCGCGGGAAUGCGGAGGGUGCAAGCGUUAAUCGGAAUUACUGGGCGUAAAGCGUGCGUAGGCGGUUCGUUAAGUCUGUUGUGAAAGCCCCGGGCUCAACCUGGGAAUGGCAAUGGAUACUGGCGAGCUAGAGUGUGUCAGAGGAUGGUGGAAUUCCCGGUGUAGCGGUGAAAUGCGUAGAGAUCGGGAGGAACAUCAGUGGCGAAGGCGGCCAUCUGGGACAACACUGACGCUCAUGCACGAAAGCGUGGGGAGCAAACAGGAUUAGAUACCCCUGUAGUCCCUGUCUCUUAUAC